rnacentral:lncRNA from 1 species
AACCAUUCUCUUUGAUUGUAGUCACCUUAAGCUACCAAUUAGCUUAUGAAGGUUUCAUUAUUUCGGGUUAAAUGGUACUUUACCAUUUCCUUGAGUAUAUAUCAUAUAUACACUCAAUGUAGUCAUAAGGAUUUUCAUUCUUAUUUCUUUCGAAUUAAGAGGUGCAACUCUAUGACAUAGUCAUAAAGUUCAAACCAUUCAACUGAGACGGUUUAUAAAUCCUUCUCGACUACCUUGGAGCUUUUGGUAUAGGAGCUAGGUUGUUAUAUUUGUUGAUUAAUUUCUUGUCUCUCAAAGAACCCAUUCUUUGAGUUCUAUCUCUCGUUCAUUUGCUCUUAGGCAAAUCACAUUGUAGGAUUACAAUGAACUACCCAACAAAACAACAUUUGUUAGUUGGUUUAUAGAAGCGAUAUCCAAAAGUUAAUUUAAGGAUAUCCUACAAGAUUGUUAUCAAACAAAUAUUGCUUAUAAGCACACAACCCCAAAUCUUAACAUGCUUAAGAUUUGUCUUUCUUUCCAACUACAUCUUAUGGAGUCAUGAAAAAUUUGGAAGAUCUUCUAAUUGACAAUCAUAUUGUCUUAGAAGUAUAUAUAUCCUAUAUAUGGGUAAUUGAUAAUAUCCAACGAACUAAAUCUUAUUCA